CCCUGACAGCUGCAUGAUGUGGCUGACAUUCGCCACGACAGGAGACUCACAUG
rnacentral:sRNA from 12 species